GACGAACGCUGGCGGCGUGCCUAACACAUGCAAGUCGAACGGAGUGGAGAACGGGUGAGUAACACGUCGGUGAUCCGCCCUGCUCUUCGGGGUAAGCUUGGGAAACUGGGACUAAUACCCGCUUGUGCAGGAUGUGCUCGCGGCCUAUCAGCUUGUUGGUGGGGUAAUGGCCUACCAAGGCGUCGACGGGUAGCCGGCCUGGGAGGGUGUACAGCCACAUUGGGACUGAGAGAGGGCCCAGACUCCUACGGGAGGCAGCAGUGGGGAAUAUUGCACAAUGGGCGGAAGCCUGAUGCAGCGACGCCGCGUGGGGGAUGAAGGCCUUCGGGUUGUAAACGCGUUUCGGCAGGGACGCGGUACCUGCAGAAGAAGCACCGGCUAACUACGUGCCAGCAGCCGCGGUAAUUC
rnacentral:rRNA from 1 species